rnacentral:lncRNA from 1 species
AGUUUUUCUGUACAAGUGCUGAAGUAUUAACCCGUGUUUUUGUCCUUGCCCAGAUCCUGAUGCACCGUGUAAAAGGGUGUAAAAGGGACUUUGGGAGGCAGCUGACUUCUCCAAAGAGCUGUGCCAGAUGAAACACACAGCCAGGAUUUCCAGCCCACUGAACCAUGGAACAUAGGAGGGCUGCACUCUGAACAUGUGGCAUGAAGAGCAACUACUGUGUUUCCUUCAGUGUUGAUUCACAGCAUGAAUAUUCUCAUCAAGAGAUGUUCUACUGCAGUUCUGGAAACACAACAUUUCUGUGCUGAUACAUCAGUUAUUUUAAUGUUCCCUAUUUAAUUAAAUUAUUAUUAUCAAUAUUGCUUUCUUAUGCUUCUGUCUGAGGCAAGGUUAGUGGCUUUAUUAAUGUCCACAUGAAUCUUUGUGCCUGAAAUAUGCUGUCAGGUGUUGCCUAAAGUUAUUUACUUCUUAAAUCCUAGGGCUUGGAGUUCAGGCAUCUGUUUUGUCUUAGCAGUGAGUUACAAACUUUUGUCAAUAGUAGUAGAACCUACCUGGGAUGAUAUUUUGC